rnacentral:rRNA from 1 species
AUUGAACGCUGGCGGCAUGCCUAACACAUGCAAGUCGAACGAGUGGCGGACGGGUGAGUAAUAUAUCGGAACGUGCCUAGUAGCGGGGGCAAACUACUCGAAAGCGUGGCUAAUACCGCAUACUAUUGGAUCGGCCGAUAUCGGAUUAGCUAGUUGGUGGGGUAUAGGCUCACCAAGGCAACGAUCCUUAGCUGGUCUGAGAGGAAGACCAGCCACACUGGGACUGAGACACGGCCCAGACUCCUACGGGAGGCAGCAGUGGGGAAUUUUGGACAAUGGGCGCAAGCCUGAUGCAGCAAUGCCGCGUGUAUGAAGAAGGCCCUAGGGUUGUAAAGUACUUUCAGUCGGGAGGCGUUACCGAAAGAAGAAGCAACGGCUAACUCCGUGCCAGCAGCCGCGGUAAUUC